rnacentral:rRNA from 1 species
ACAAGUUGACAAGAGCAUCGGGUGGAUGCCUUGGCGUCGGAAGGCGAUGAAAGACGUGGUAAGCUGCGAAAAGCCUCGGGGAGAAGCUAAACAUUCUGUGAUCCGGGGAUUUCUGAAUGGGGAAACCCGGCGGAGGUCAUGCUCCGUCGCGGGCACUUGAAUACAUAAAGUGUCCAGCGCCAACUCAGGGAAGUGAAACAUCUCAGUACCUGAAGGAAAAGAAAUCAAACGAGACUCCCAAAGUAGCGGCGAGCGAAAUGGGAUGAGCCCAAACCGGCUGGAUUCGUUCAGCCGGGGUUGUAGGGCCGGCAUAUGUGAUUCAUGAGUAGGCAGGGGAAAUGAGCUGGAAAGCUCUGCCAGAGCGGGUGACAGCCCCGUACCUGAAACCGAAAGCGACACAGCCGGUACCUGAGUACCGCGAGACACGUGGAACCUCGUGGGAAUCCGGGAGGACCAUCUUCCAAGGCUAAGUACUAACCGACGACCGAUAGUGUACCAGUACCGUGAGGGAAAGGUGAAAAGAACCUCUGUUAGAGGAGUGAAAUAGAAUCUGAAACCUGGUGCUUACAAGCUGUGAGAGCGGACUUGUUCCGUGAUCACGUGCCUUUUGCAUAAUGAGUCAGCGAGUUAAUCUGUACUGCAAGGUUAAGCGCAAGUGGAGCCGUAGGGAAACCGAGUCUGACAAGGGCGAUGAGUAGUGCGGAUUAGACCCGAAACCGGGUGAUCUAUCCAUGAGCAGGUUGAAGCAAGGGUAAAACCUUGUGGAGGACCGAACCAAUACCGGCUGAAAACGGUUUGGAUGACUUGUGGAUAGGGGUGAAAGGCCAAUCAAACCCGGUGAUAGCUGGUUCUCCCCGAAAUAUAUUGAGGUAUAGCCUCAUGGAUUGUCUACCGGAGGUAAAGCACUGACAGGGCUAGGGGUCCUACCAGAUUACCAAACCCUAUCAAACUCAGAAUGCCGGUCAGAUGUACCAUGGGAGUCAGACGGCGGGUGCUAAGGUCCGUCGUCGAGAGGGUAAGAGCCCAGAUCAACAGCUAAGGUCUCCAAAUCUAUGCUCAGUGGUUAAGGUGGUGACGUUGUAGAGACACCCAGGACGUUGGCUUAGAAGCAGCCAUCAUUUAAAGAAAGCGUAAUAGCUCACUGGUCUAAUGACGUUGCGCCGCAAAUGUAACGGGGCUAAGCAUAGUACCGAAGCUUUGAAUUCCGCAUAUGCGGUCUGGUAGGGGAGCGUUCUUCACGGGCUGAAGGUGUGUCGUAAGGCAUGCUGGACUGUGGAGAAGUGAUUAUGCUGACAUGAGUAACGAUAAAACGGGUGAAAAACCCGUUCGCCGUAAACCCAAGGUUUUCCGGGUAAAGGUAAUCUUCCCGGAGUUAGUCGGCCCCUAAGGCGAGGCUGAAAGGCGUAGCUGAUGGGAAACGUGUUAAUAUUCACGUACUUGUGUGUUCGCGCGAUGAAGGGACGCAGGAAGAUAGGCAAGCCGGGCGCUGGUUGUCCCGGUGCAAGCGUGUAGGGAUGAAGAGUUGGCAAAUCCGCUCUUCUCUAUCCUGAGACGCGAGUCCGUGACCGAAAGGUCUGAAGUUGUUGAGUCUAUGCUGCCUAGAAAAGCUUCUAAGUAUAGGACACGCAAACCGUACCGGAAACCAACUCAGGUGGGUGGGAUGAAUAAUCCAAGGCGCUCGAGAGAACUCUGGCCAAGGAACUCGGCAAAAUAACCCCGUACCUUCGGAAGAAGGGGUGCUUUUUAGGGUGAAGCGAUUCACUCUGUCGAGCCCUGAAAAGCCGCAGAGAAAUGGUGGUGGCGACUGUUUACUAAAAACAUAGGUCUGUGCCAAGUCGUAUAGACGACGUAUACGGACUGACGCCUGCCCGGUGCUGGAAGGUUAAAAGGAGGAGUCAGCGCAAGCGAAGCUCCGAAUUGAAGCCCCAGUAAACGGCGGCCGUAACUAUAACGGGCCUAAGGUAGCGAAAUUCCUUGUCGGGCAAGUUCCGACCUGCACGAAUGGUGUAAUGAUCUGGACGCUGUCUCAACCAAGAACUCAAAGUAUUUAGACUAGCGGU